CUACGGGAUGCACCAGUUAGGAAUAAUCUACAAUGCACGAAAGUGUGAUAGUUUGAGUCAAAGUGCAUUUCAAUUUGAAAUGCUUUUAUGGAAUGUAAAAAGUUCCACGAAUAAGGACUGGGUAAGACAGGUGCCAGCCGCCGCGGUAAUACCUGCGGUCCAAGUCGCAGCCAUUUUUAUUGGGUCUAAAACAUCCGUAGCUUGCUUGAUAAGUUUCUUGUGAAAUUCUAUAUCUUAAAUAUAGAGCGUGCAGGAGGUACUGUCAAGCUAGAGACUGGGAGACGUAAGAAGUACGUUCGAAGUAGCGGUAAAAUGAGUUAAUCUCGAGCGGACUCACAAUAGCGAAGGCAUCUUACGAGAACAGUUCUGACAGUAAGGGAUGAAGGCUAGGGGAGCAAAACGGAUUAGAUACCCCUGUAGUC
rnacentral:rRNA from 1 species